GGCUACAUCCCUGGGUAGUGUUAACUACUUUGAGCUUAUGUUAAUGCAAUUAAAAGCGUGAGGCAAAGACACCUGGCAUGUGCCUGCUGGCACUCCUCUCAGGACCUCAGAGACAUCAGGGCGAAUUUUGGACUAAAACGCAGUCUGUGAGGCUGGUUCUCCUGCAGCAGGUGCAACUUCUGAUUCUGGUCCAGACCACCUGCCUCCAGCACCAAGGCAAAGUGCUCAAUGUAGCGCAGUGAGAGGCGGUCCUGCAGGGAGGAGAUCACAUCCUGGAAGAAGAGACAUGAAAAACGGUCAGAGAUUGAAAUACAUUUCCACGAGCAAAGCAAGUGUCAAGGUCAUGUGUUGCACAGUGUACCUGUCACAUGCGUUCGUGUGUCCAUCCUGGACCUUGGCCAUCCCCUGAGAGGAGGGAGCAGCAUGGGACAGGGUCGCACUGCAAAGGCCGUUCUCUGUUUCGCAAUCAUUCACCUGCACAAUGAAAAGGAGGAGACAAGGGGGGUGCAAGCACAGAGUUGCUGGAAGGACGCUCAUUCUGUUGGAUCUUCAAGGAGGCGCCAGUGAAUAGCUGUUCAUCAGGUAGACUCUUCAACCAGCGCCUCUUAUCCCUGCUACCAGGUAAACAAUAAAAACUCUAUCUCUAU